rnacentral:rRNA from 1 species
CCUACGGGAGGCUGCAGUGAGGAAUAUUGGUCAAUGGGCGGAAGCCUGAACCAGCCAAGUAGCGUGCGGGAUGAAGGCCCUACGGGUCGUAAACCGCUUUUGCACGGGGAUAACACCCUCCACUUGUGGAGGUCUGCAGGUACCGUGCGACUAAGGGCCGGCUAAUUCCGUGCCAGCAGCCGCGGUAAUACGGAAGGCCCGAGCGUUAUCCGGAUUUCUUUGGGUUAAAGGGAGCGUAGGCGGGCGUUCAAGUCAGCUGUAAAAUCGCGCGGCUCAACCGCGCCCCGAAGUUGAAACUGGAAGCCUUGAGUUGACAAGAGGCAGGCGGAAUGCGUGGUGUAGCGGUGAAAUGCAUAGAUAUCACGAGGAACCCCGAUUGCGAAGGCAGCCUGCCGGGGUGCGACUGACGCUGAGGCUCGAAGGUGCGGGUAUCAAACAGGAUUAGAUACCCGAGUAGUC